GAAGCAACGCGAAGAACCUUACCAGGUCUUGACGUACCAUUGACCGUUCUAGAGAUAGGAUUUUCCCUUCGGGGACAAUGGAUACAGGUGGUGCAUGGUUGUCGUCAGCUCGUGUCGUGAGAUGUUGGGUUAAGUCCCGCAACGAGCGCAACCCCUGUCGUUAGUUGCCAGCAUUCAGUUGGGGACUCUAACGAGACUGCCAGUGACAAACUGGAGGAAGGUGGGGACGACGUCAAAUCAUCAUGCCCCUUAUGACCUGGGCUACACACGUGCUACAAUGGUUGGUACAAAGAGAAGCGAAGCGGUGACGUGGAGCAAACCUCAUAAAGCCAAUCUCAGUUCGGAUUGUAGGCUGCAACUCGCCUACAUGAAGUUGGAAUCGCUAGUAAUCGCGAAUCAGAAUGUCGCGGUGAAUACGUUCCCGGGCCUUGUACACACCGCCCGUCACACCACGAGAGUUUACAACACCCGAAGUCAGUGGCCUAACCGCAAGGAGGGAGCUGCCUAAGGUGGGGUAGAUGAUUGGGGUGAAGUCGUAACAAGGUAUCCCUACCGGAAGGUGC
rnacentral:rRNA from 1 species